rnacentral:rRNA from 1 species
AGAAUCAACGCUGGCGGCGUGCCUAACACAUGCAAGUCGAACGAGAAAGUGGGAGCAAUCCCACGAGUAAAGUGGCGCACGGGUGAGUAACACGUGACUAACCUACCCUUGAGUGGGGGGAUAACCUAGGGAAAACCUGGGCUAAUACCGCAUAAUACCUACGGGUCAAAGGAGCAAUUCGCUUAAGGAGGGGGUCGCGGCAGAUUAGUUAGUUGGCGGGGUAAUGGCCCACCAAGACAGUGAUCUGUAUCCGGCCUGAGAGGGCGCACGGACACACUGGAACUGAAACACGGUCCAGACUCCUACGGGAGGCAGCAGUGGGGAAUUUGCGCAAUGGGGGAAACCCUGACGCAGCAACGCCGCGUGGAGGAUGAAGCCCAUUGGGGCGUAAACUCCUUUCGAUCGGGAAGAUAAUGACGGUACCGGAAGAAGAAGCCCGGCUAACUUCGCGCCAGCAGCCGC